CUCCAGAUGUUUUUCAGACUACAAUUCCCAUCAUCCCUGACCCCUGGUCCUGUUAGCUAGAGGUGAUGGGAGUUGUAGCCCCAAAAACAUCUGGAG
rnacentral:miRNA from 1 species